UAGACAUCAUCGACUCUCUAAUUUGCAUAUCACUGAGUUGUGCAUAAUGUUUUGAGAAACUUUAGAAUUUCAAAACUCUUAUUUUAUUAAAAUCGACAUCUUUGUGGGAUGGACUUGACCUUUAAUAAUAAAAAAGUGCAUUUUGUAUUUGGUGGGUAUCAGACCUUUUCAUUUAAAAUUGUGAAAUACAUCCAAUUAACACUAAAAUGCGUCUCAGAUUCGUAUCACCAAAACCACAACAGUUUAUAGAAUUUAGUAAAUGGCACUUUCCCCGUGGCAGCGAAUUGCGGAGGACGGCGUUAAAUCCCUUGAAAGGAUGUAAAACACACGUGUAUGGAUUUCCCGUUGUAUUUCUACUUUCCUACAUGAUCCCGCAGUUCUUAAUUCGUUUACCAAGGAAACGAGAUGUAAAAGAAAACAACGUGGAAUUAAACAAAAAAUUGGAUUCAAUUAUUAACUUUAAAAGUGUGGUGGUGGUGGCGUUCAUUUUUUCUUAAAAUAUGUGGAUUAGAUGUUUUUUUUUAUUAUUUGUGGAGCUAUUGUGAGGAUGCAUUUAAACAUACGUUAAAUUUAAUAAUGAAUAAUUAGUAUAGCUUUUAAUGUAGUAAAUAUACAUAUAUAUUUUCCAUGUAAAUAUAUGCUUGUAUCUAUGCACGGCAUUCUUCUCAUAUUGGUGUAUAUAAAUGUUUGUUCGCUUAUACCGAAGAGUGACGUCCUUAAUUUUGCAUUUCAGCAUUUAUGAUACCAUAUUUUAAUAGAGCAUGAUGACCCCCCGCCCCCAAUACCAAAAUUUAUAAUUGCGAAUCGGUCAUAUCUCAGGCCCCCAUGGACUGAUUCGCACCAAAUUUGGGCAGUGAAGGUAUUACAUCAUGCUCUACAAAAUGUGAUAUAAAAAAUUCUGAAAUGCAAAAAAAAUUGUGACGUCAUCACUUCGGUGCACUCUAUUUAGGCAUGACCGGAACACGUGCUAAGUCGGUUACAUAUAAGGAUAUAUCAUUAAUCGCAAGAAAAAUGUCAUCAGUGCUGCACAAAGUAAAUAUGUGUAACUUAAAAACAACUUUAUGUAAUAUCAACAAGUUUUGUAACAUUUUUUCACUCACUUUUGUUGUAGAAAUAGACGUGGAAUCAUCCAUGUUGUAUACAUGUAUGUGAUUUUGUAUCAGUUUGGUCAUGAUGCGUUUAACAUUGUUACCUAGUAAAAUAUUGGGUGAUUGACUAGUUUGAUUUAGCUGAAAAUAAUAUCAAGGUUCUAUCAGUCUACCCAACUCCAUAUUUCGUGUUACUUAAAAAAAACUUUUUUAGGGCAUCCCACGUGUAAAUUCCCACAACUCUUUAUUUUCCGUGUAUAUGUGAACGUUUGAAAUUGGUGAUAUCGUGCUUGAACUUUGAAGUGAUUAUUGCAACAGCUACCAUUAGCUGAAAACGCCACAUCAAUUUAUUUUAUGUACAAUUUUUUUUACUUGAUGUUUAUGAGAUGGUAGAUUUUCUCUAAAGGUAUUUGUUUAAAAAACAACUAAGAAGAAAAUAAACCCCACAUCGCAAUGCACGGCUUUGGAUAUAUGGGACGACAUUCCAUUCGGAAAACUCUUUAUUUUCAUUUUGUGAAGUUACUUGUAGAUUUUCAUAUGUCUUGUUUAUACGAUUAGAAAAUGUAUUUUUCUCAGAAAAAAUCAAUUUCACCACUGACUUUAUUAUAUAAAUAAUCAACAGGCACAUAGUUUUAUGCUAUAACUACAAUAAUAAAGAUAGUUUCCUUUAUCAUUAAGUUUGAAUAAAAAAGAAGAAAUUGAGUAAUUUAAUCCACAUUUGGUUACAACAGCUGCUAUAAAAAAUAUCGACAUCUAAAAACAAAAAUGAAAAGAAUGCAUACCUCCAUUUUAACGAUUCUUGUCACACCUCUAUAGAUUUCGUUUUUUAUUUAGUUAUAUUUUAGUAAUUGUGUUAUUAAUUAAUUAUUUUAAUAACUCCGACUUGAUAUCAGGAUGAUAAUUCCUCUUUUUAUACUCUGUAAGUCGACCUGACAACUCAACUUCAAAAGGGUUACGUGUCAUCAUAGUGACAAUAUAGGUGUCUUGUCAUUUAUUCUGAAUCGCCCUAGCUGGUAUAAUAACUUUAUGUCGCUAUGACGAUGGAGUGAAAAUGAUAGGGCUUUCAAAUCGACUUUUGACGAUAAUGUUCCCAAAUCUUGUUAUUUUUCAUAUCAUUUUAACGGUCCCGUAUAUCUAAACAUGUGCAAGAUAAACCAUCAGCUAUUAUGAGGUAUGGCAGUCUUUAGGUAUAUUAUUACAUUUAAAACCAAUGAAAAAUUUAAACCUCAUUAAUUAUAUACAUAAAAUGAGAUGAGGCGAGGCCAACUCAACAGAUGACGCAGGACACCGUGAUUUGCUUUAGCUUUCGUUUUUUAAUUGAGACUUCGUCAGAAGCGUCUGAAAAAUAUAAGGAGAUACAACAUCCAAGUUUGUUUUGCAUAUCAAUGAAUUAUCACCAAGUUGAAUAUGUUUCAUAAUGACGGAUUAAUGAAUGAACAAAUAAAUUAAUGAAUAAUAAAUUAAUGAAUAAUAAAUAAUUAACGUUAAUUCGAUUAAAAAAUAAUGAUAUGAAUGAAGAAGACAUACCUGUAAUUACAGACUAUUGUGAAAGUAUGACCGUAUCCUAUCUCGUUCUUUAGGAAAGUGGCAAAAAUUGCAAAAUGCAAACGUUGGUUGCUCGGUGGUGAAAGCGGAAAGCGCUCCGGCAAUGCGCAUAUAAUUUAUGUCACAAUGGAUAUGGAUAUUCAUGAAAUAGAUAUCGUAGGCUGGAGGAUGAUGACGAAAGCAUUGUUUCUUACAAGUAUAGUAAUUAAAUCUCUAUGAAACGAUAUAAAUUUUGAAAUCAAAUUGAGUAAAGAUUAUAAAUAAAAUUGUUGAUAAUUCGCAUGACCUAAAGUCUCACUUCUCAAGCUUGGGUCAUCUAUAGAUAUAUAUGUAUACAUAUAUAUAAUAUGUACAUGUAUGUAUGUAUAUAUUCGUUUUUAGUUUUUAUAUUGCAUGCGCAAUUAAUAAAUUAAUGGUUUUAAUUGUAUUGAUAUGCUAGAUAGCGUGCGUACAUAAUGUGUUAUGGUCUCAUGUGUUAUGAUUAAUCUACGAUUCGAGAUACGAGCAUUUUAUUUGUUGCAAAAUAGACGAUAUUGAUGAUGAUGACGAUUUGAAAAUGAACGUAUGGGUAUCUAGGUGAUGAAAGUAGUGCGAUUGCAACUACCCACAAUUUUCAUCACCAUCACAUUUUGUGUCAUUAUUUAUGACACUCUUGCAAAUAUCGCACGAUGCAUUUACUCUUAAAUAAAUUUAUGUAACCUACUUCCGAAAA
rnacentral:lncRNA from 1 species